AUUUGGCGUCAUGCCGGCCUGAGGUGGGCGCGUAGCGACAGGUCUAGAGAUGCCGCUGGCGCGGCGCCCCUCGCCGGCCCGCGUGUGCAGACGAGGCUGCACGUGCCUCCAUCCAGCGGCCCCCCAUCGGCCCUCGAGAAGACGACGCGCGCGGGUCUCCUUGCGGCGGCGACGACCACCUCAAGCAGUCAUGGCGGCGGCAGGAUUCCUCAUCUACGGCGAGCCCCGGAUGCGACGUCGACGCUGGCGUGACUUCCUCAUGCACGGCGGGCCCCUGAUGUGGCAUCGGCGGUGCGGCUCCAUGAUCUGUGGCGGUGGCGUGGCGGAACCGGCACGCAGGCUGCUGAAUCCUCUGAUCUGCGACAGUAGCAGCAGUUCGUCCACCUAGCAUACCUAAAGGCAACAGCGACGCUGGCUAAGUCUUACAAGCCUUGGGUUUUGAAGUCUGCAAAUAUAAAGUGGAAAGAUUUCAAGGUUGUUUUGAAGACAAAGUACUUUGAUCCUGAUUUAUCUGGUAGACAUAAUAUCAGUAAUGGUUAUGGGAAAAGGAUUCCAACACCUCAUGGGAGUGGCUGGUGAAUCACUAGAAGUCAAAUGAGGGACUGGAACUAAAGGAAGGAAGACAGAUAAGCCGUGCUGAGCUCUAUAGCAACACAUACAGAAAAAAUGGGCACCCAAUUGAUGACUACAACUUUGAAAAAAAAUACAACUUGAUUAUUUGUCGGCC